rnacentral:rRNA from 1 species
GAUGAGCGCUAGCUACAGGCUUAACACAUGCAAGUCGAGGGGUAACGAGAGGAAAGCUUGCUUUCCUUGUCGACGACCGGCGCACGGGUGAGUAACGCGUAUCCAACCUGCCCCCAACUAGGGAAUAACCUUGCGAAAGUAAGACUAAUACCCUAUAAUUUCCUCAGAUGUCAUCUGACGAGGAAUAAAGAUUUAUCGGUUGUGGAUGGGGAAGCGUCUGAUUAGCUUGUUGGCGGGGUAACGGCCCACCAAGGCAACGAUCAGUAGGGGUUCUGAGAGGAAGGUCCCCCACAUUGGAACUGAGACACGGUCCAAACUCCUACGGGAGGCAGCAGUGAGGAAUAUUGGUCAAUGGGCGGAAGCCUGAACCAGCCAAGUAGCGUGCAGGAUGACGGCCCUAUGGGUUGUAAACUGCUUUUAUACAGGAAUAAAGUUAGCCACGUGUGGUUAUUUGUAGGUACUGUAUGAAUAAGGACCGGCUAAUUCCGUGCCAGCCGCCGCAGUAA